UGAAACACCGUUUCUCGUGCGAUCGUCGAAGUUAAGCAACGUCGAGCCUGGUCAGUAUCUAGAUGGGUGACUGCGUGGGAAUACCAGGCGAUGUAAG